rnacentral:rRNA from 1 species
GACGAAGGUGGCGACCGUUGUUCGGAAUCACUGGGCAUAAAGAGCUCGUAGGCGGUGAGAAAAGUAGGGUGUGAAAUCCCUCGGCCCAACCGAGGAACUGCGCUCUAAACUGUCUUGCUUGAGGACCGAAGGGGACCACGGAAUUCCUGGUGGAGCGGUGAAAUGCGUUGAUAUCAGGAGGAACACCGGCGGCGAAGGCGCCAUCUGG